rnacentral:lncRNA from 1 species
GAAGAUCAGCGUCAUCACCUCCACGAACAUGCAUCCAUGUUUGCAUCUUCACCUUUAAAAUGGAAAACUGCAAAAAAGAAUGGUCAAUGAAGAAUAUAACUAGUUAAUCAUCUGUUGCACGGCCUCUUGUGCAUGCCCCAACAAUUCUCAGUGUUAGAUCUGUCCUGUUCAUGGCAGACAGUACGAUCGCCCAAAUUCAGAAUAUGAUAACAUGUUGUACUAUGCAUCAUGAUGGAAACGGUGCUUAUCUGUGCAUAUCGCUGCCAUUUUUCUUGGAGGUGAUGUCGUACAUAGGUGCUAGACAUUUCGUGUAGACAGCCGGCUGCGCGAUCUCGAAACCGCGUUUCCUCACGUUGUUUGCCGCAGCCGCUACUCAGAUGAGCACCGCGUGGCCAGCUCCGUUGAGGACGGCGGUGGGGGAUGUGCACGGGAACUGAGACCUAGUCGACAUCACCUCCAGCUCGCCCGGAAUUAGUUGCUGCGCUUGACGAUGGUAGGAAGAUUGGAGAGUGGAAACGAGAGGAGGAGGUGGCUGGAUGGAAGGGACGCGUCUUGGAACAUUUUUUUUGGGAAAUCAAAACAACAGGCUGCACG